rnacentral:lncRNA from 1 species
GUGCUGGCAGUUUUGUAUUCACUUGUUAAAUACACAGGACUCUUCACCUCUGUGUUUGCAUUGUUCCAGUUCAUUAUCCACGAGGUUACAACAGCAGACGAGGUCUGGGUGAAGUUACUGAUCAGCUCAGCUAAAGCUGAGACCCGCUCUCAAAGGACACAGUUUUAUCCAGUUUCCUUAUGGCCCAGGUCCUGUAUGGCACACCUGCCAGUGACAGCCUCACCUGUAACUUGUUUUCCUUCUGGAACAGCAGGUCCCAAAUCUGUGGUAAGUCUUCUUCCACCUUGCCUUAACCAUGGCAGUACAUGAACAACCUGUAGGAAGGUUGGACUCGAUGAUCUUGAGGUCUCUUCCAACCUAGAAAUUCUGUGAUUCUGUGAAUUGUGUCACUGGGACUGACUUAAGACUUGUCCACUCAUGGCUGACCCUGAGUUAGACCCACAGAAUUAGAUGGAUUCAGGAUGUUUUGUUCCUCUCUACUGAGUUUCAUCCUGUCACUUGUGGCUGGAAAUUAGAGGUCCAGCAGCACAAACACCCAAGUAUUGAUGUCUGGUUUAUAUGCUGAAAUCUGACACAAGAUUUGGUAGGAAGCUGCAGUGCUGCCCUACAGCUUAUCUCAGGCCCAUGUUGCUCUGUGCAUACAUGAGAGAGUAUCCUUGCAUCUCCUGAGCUUUGCUUGGUGUAGAAAACAAGUGGACAGGUCUUCCUUGCUUCAUGCAGCUUUACAGUGAGCUAGUUUUAUCCUGAACUUGUAAAGAGAUCAUCCGAUUUGUUCCUGAUGCUUUGAUCUUGUGGCCUAAGGUAGAAUGAAGUAGCUGAGUGAAGUAGCUGAGCUACUGAGCUGAGGAGGUGUUUUACAGGCAGCAAAAGUCCUCUGGAAGCUGGCUAAGCAAAUUCUGGAUUACAGCACAGCCGCCAGGAUCUGACAUGUGUUUCUAUGCAUUACAAAACUGUAAGUUCCCAAGACUUCCAUGAUCUUUAGUAUCAAUCAAAGGUAGAAGAGAGCCCAUCAAAACCUUUCUUUUUUUUUCUCCUUUUUUAUAUAAGAAGCAAGCAGAUAUUCAGUCACUUCCUGUUGAAAAGAGCUCGACCAAAACCCUCAUGUUUAACCCUGUCAAUGUUGUCUUCCCCAUCAAGCAUAAAGGCAUUGCAAACUCUCUCUUCAGGGAAUGAGGAAGCAAGAAAUAACAUAGAAGUGUAUUGUGCUAUUUCUUGAGCAAACUGGAUGUGAAAGGCAGAAUUAAUGACAAACCAUAAACUUUCCAUGGAAAAAAG